UUAUUAUGAGAGUUUGAUCCUGGCUCAGGACGAACGCUGGCGGCGUGCCUAAUACAUGCAAGUCGAACGCUUCUUUCCUCCCGAGUGCUUGCACUCAAUUGGAAAGAGGAGUGGCGGACGGGUGAGUAACACGUGGGUAACCUACCCAUCAGAGGGGGAUAACACUUGGAAACAGGUGCUAAUACCGCAUAACAGUUUAUGCCGCAUGG
rnacentral:rRNA from 1 species